rnacentral:lncRNA from 1 species
UGGAAGCCCUUACAGUAGACACUCUCGGCUGCUCCAGCCAGGCACCUCCCUCCUACAGCUUGUCUCCUGAAAAUCGACCACCAUACCUUCAAUCCUGUCCCUGGCUGCCCGUCACUCCCCGAGAAAGCGUUCGCUUUGAAAACGAAAGCGGCCCUCAUUAACUACUGCCCAGGCUACUCUGAAACUGAGAGAAAUGGUACUCUGGAAAUGACACGAGAAAUCAGAAACAUCUGCCUGAAUCAAACCUCACAAAUUCUAGGAUUGUGGCUUUCCUGCAUUCAAUCUUGAAGAAAAAAUUAGCUUUUGGAUUAUAUUAUGAAAAUAUAUAUCUUGUUUUUAGUAGAUAUAAUACUAAGGGUGUGACACUUAAAAGAACACUAAUGUUUAUUCUUUAAUUAUAGAAGGGAUUCUUAACUUAUUUUUGGCAUAUCGUUGUUUAGUGUAGGCGCUUUAAAUGGAAAAUGAGCAUUACCCCUUUAAUGGAAAUAACCGUGCUGUUAAUGAUUGGCUUCGGCUUCUGAGCAGUCUUUCUCACCUCACCUGAGACACUUUACUCUAGGGCAAACCUAACUGUAGUAGGAAGAAAAUCAAAAGUAGAAAAACAGUUGAAACCAAUGACAGGAUCUAUACUCCAUUUAAAAGGCAAGAAUUUUUGUACCUGUAAUGAUUCUUCUAACAUUCCUACGCUAAGAUUUUACUAAAGAAGAAAAUAACAGCAGAGGAAAGUGUUCAGGCAGUCACUGCCAUGAUGAAGCUGUCAGAAUCUGAGAGCUACUGCUGCAACUGAUCGUGUAGUAAAUCCAGCUGUAAAGGGGAUCUUAACCCACCACAGUGGGAUGCACAGGCAGAUCCCCAAGGGCAUUGUGCAGCUGUGAGAUAUAUAUUUAAAGUUGUAUAUAAUGAUUUUCUAAUUUAUUCCGUGAGCACCUUUGAAAAUAUACAUGUCGCUGUGUAACAAAUACACUUCUGAAUAAAGUAAUUCUCAAGUUC